GACGAACGCUGGCGGCGUGCUUAACAUAUGCAAGUCGAACGGAAAGGCUCUGCUUUUGUGGGGUGCUCGAGUGGCGAACGGGUGAGUAACACGUGAGUAACCUGCCCUUGACUUUGGGAUAACUUCAGGAAACUGGGGCUAAUACCGGAUAGGAGCUCCUGCUGCAUGGUGGGGGUUGGAAAGUUUCGGCGGUUGGGGAUGGACUCGCGGCUUAUCAGCUUGUUGGUGGGGUAGUGGCUUACCAAGGCUUUGACGGGUAGCCGGCCUGAGAGGGUGACCGGCCACAUUGGGACUGAGAUACGGCCCAGACUCCUACGGGAGGCAGCAGUGGGGAAUAUUGCACAAUGGGCGGAAGCCUGAUGCAGCAACGCCGCGUGCGGGAUGACGGCCUUCGGGUUGUAAACCGCUUUCGCCUGUGACGAAGCGUGAGUGACGGUAAUGGGUAAAGAAGCACCGGCUAACUACGUG
rnacentral:rRNA from 1 species